rnacentral:rRNA from 1 species
GACGAACGCUGGCGGCGUGCUUAACACAUGCAGGUCGAACGGAAAGGCCCUGCUUUUGUGGGGUGCUCGAGUGGCGAACGGGUGAGUAACACGUGAGUAACCUGCCCUUGACUUUGGGAUAACUUCAGGAAACUGGGGCUAAUACCGGAUAGGAGCUCCUGCUGCAUGGUGGGGGUUGGAAAGUUUCGGCGGUUGGGGAUGGACUCGCGGCUUAUCAGCUUGUUGGUGGGGUAGUGGCUUACCAAGGCUUUGACGGGUAGCCGGCCUGAGAGGGUGACCGGCCACAUUGGGACUGAGAUACGGCCCAGACUCCUACGGGAGGCAGCAGUGGGGAAUAUUGCAAAAUGGGCGGAAGCCUGAUGCAGCAACGCCGCGUGCGGGAUGACGGCCUUCGGGUUGUAAACCGCUUUCGCCUGUGACGAAGCGUGAGUGACGGUAAUGGGUAAAGAAGCACCGGCUAACUACGUG